UCAUGUGACAGACUAGUCCCUGCAUGGAGGCACAGAGAGGUCAUUUCAUGAGAUGUGACAGUAAAGCUGAGAUUGUGUUGAAGACCCCAGAAAUUUGGAGGUGCCAGAUCCAUGGAAUGUUUGCCAGGGAGAGCUGAAAACAGCCCACCUGAAAACUAGCCCAAGAGACAGAAGUUACAGUCAGCACAUCUGGAAAGGAAGAGCCAUUUAAUCCCUUUGACGAUGGACAUGGAACUGCAGGAUUUGGAGUUUUCAUUGUUGGGUUUUGGUUUUGUUUGGGCCUAGUGUUUUCUCUCUACACAAGUGCUCCUCCCUUUGAGAAAGUCAUGUAUAUUCUGGGCCAUCGUACGCUGGAAAUACGUUAUUUUUAUUUUUUUUUAUUUUAUAGUACUGGAUGCUUAAUGGGAUCCUGGAAAUGGGAGACCCAGAGAAGAUUCUACCACAUUGCCAGAUACUUCUCCAGUUUGCAGUCAUUUCUGAAUAUCUUAGAAAAACAUGGCAUCUAAUCAUCAGUGCUGAUCGAUGGGUAGUGAGUUCAAAUCAAGAAGACGGUAAAGUAGUUUUGAGUAGUUAGAAGACAUUUUAGUUCUUUCAAGGCACGUUGUUUCAAAGUUCUAACCCACAAGAAAUACAUAGUUUUUAACUGUAUUUUUUGAGAACUAUAUACAUUAAAAUCUGAAUCACUUUU